AGAGUUAAAAGUACGUGAAAUUGCUAAAAGGGAAACGUUUGACACCAGUAUUUGGAAGUCGGAAAUCAGCCUUCUUUUUGGAGGUGCACUUUCCGGCUACCAGGUCAACAUCAGUUUUGCCUGCCGUAAAAAAGCCAAGAGAAGGUAGGGUAAAACCGUUAUAGCUCUGGCCGAUGCGGUGGGCGGGACUGAGGACAGCGACGCAUGCUCACGCUGGCUUUACUGUAUCUGUGAUGGAAAGGGGGGUGGACAGCGUGCUGACCAUCCUUCUCUUCCAAUGCACCUGCGGAACAAGCACAAAUGCGCCUAGGAUGUUGACGAAAUGGUUUUAAAUGACC
rnacentral:rRNA from 1 species